GUUUCAUGUGUCAAACGAUAUGAUAAUAUUGAGAUUCUGGAAAGCUGAUUAUACGCUACUAAAAAAAAAAAAGGCGUUUUCGACUAAAAAAUUUCGACCACAUUUUUGGUCAAAAAAAUCGACCACGCGCGGUCGAAAAAUCAAGAAUUUAAUUUUUAUUUUAUUUUCAGUAGGAUUUCGAUCACACGGGGUCGAUUUUUUAAAAUGAAAAUAUAAUUUCGACCACACGGGGUCGAAAUUAAAUUUUGUAUACAUAAUAACGUUUAAAUUAAAAAAAAAAAUAAAAAAUUUCGACCACAUUUGUAUAUACACAUCUGCUGGCUGGUCUUUACUUUUCAUAUUGAAGAUUUUUUCUUUUUCUCUCUUUCCUCUCUCCCUCUCCUCUCUCUACCCACACACACCACCUCUCUCCCUCUCCUCUCUCUACCCACACACACCACCUCUCUCCCUCUCCUCUCUCUACCCACACCACCAGCCCACUGCCCCACCAGCCCAGACCCUCAACCUACCGCCUUCCGACCACCGCCAGUCCACCGUCGGCGGCGCAGCCCUUGCAUUUUCAGUUGAAUGAAUUCCGUGCCAAGUAUCUACAUCAACAAGUCCUCAAGCAUGAAGCAUAUCUGCAAGGAGAUAUUGGAACAUCAGUCCAGAAAGCCUUUUUCAGGUAUGUUCAAGUCAAUUUUUUGUUAUAUAGUCUAAGCUGAAGGCAGUGGGUAUGCCCAAGCUCGCAGCAUCUUGUUCCUUU